CAACCCUCAAGCCCCCGGGCUUGGUGUUGGGGAUCGGCGAGCCUCCGCGCCCGCCGUCCCCCAAAUCUAGUGGCGGUCUCGCUGUAGCUUCCUCUGCGUAGUAGCACACCUCGCACUGGGAAACAGCGCGGCCACGCCGUUAAACCCCCAACUUCUGAAA
rnacentral:misc_RNA from 1 species